AGAGGUAUUAAGAUCUAAGCCCCUGUGUGUCUGCGUAGUGCAUGUUUGAAAGCAAAGUUUCGUAUCUCACUUCCUACCCUCCGUUGCCUUUCCUGACUUUUCCUUAUUGCUCAUAUUGCUCAUAUGGACAGAGAUCAUAAGGCACUGACCUCUGUUCAAAUAGUCUGUCCUGUUAUCAGAUCAAGGGCCCAAUUGUAGGGUUCAGAAAAAGCAUCUCCACUUCCUUAGUUUUUCUUUAAGUGUAUGAACUUAGAUUGGCUGGGCUAAUGCCUACAAGGGAAAAUGACUUUUUAAAAAAAUUGCACUAAGGUGUGUUUGUUGAACAGUAGAGCAAGCAACUACAUUUGAUUGAUAGUGGUUGGGGAGGAACUGGAUUUUUCCCAGUCCUCCCAGUAUCAUAGUAACUUAUUUCUAGAGCACUCUAGACUUCCGUGGUUACCAGAGAAUGGUCAUUCAGAGCUUUGCCAGGAGUGCCUGUCUUGCAUUGCAUUCUGUGAAAGCCUCAACAUGCAUCCUUGCACCCUGUCUGACCUGCUCAUUUUUAUGGCUACAGAGCUGGGGAGCAAAGCUAGCGACAUGUGGGGAGUUUCCAUGUGCAAAUGUCCACAUCCUUCAUUCAUGUCCUUCAAGGGUUUCCUUUCACAUUUUCUGAUUGUGUUUCUGAGUACAUGGUGUCAACAGCUCUCAGAACUGUUAAGUUUUCUAUUUAUCCUCAGGCCAGGAAAAGGCACAGAUCACUGCAGUGUAAAAUUACCAGUGGUUUUGACAGUGACCUGGAAGAACUAUGGAAUGAAGAAAUUUAGCCUUGAGAGCUGAGGUUCAGCCCCAGGCCCAUCUUAACCAAGAAGUUCUGCUCAAUUAUACAGGUCACAAGAAGUUCUGCUAGUCUUGAAAAUAUUGAACUCAUCAAACUUGAGUUUGGUGUUGUUGACACAUCUUGAUGAAUGGCCAGUUUUGGACACCAACUACCGUAUUUACUUGUUUAUUUCCUCCUUUGUUCCAUUUCUACUCAACCUUAAUUUUGAAAAGUAAUAUUGAGUUUUAAAAUUUGCUUUUUAUUUCUUUUGCAAGGGCUCUCCAAGUCAGCACAAACUCUUCUGAAGGUUUGAAAAGCCAGGUGAAAUAGUAAAAAUGGCCAUAUUUGCUGAAAAUAGAAGAAAGGGGACUUAUUUCUCUGGAACUAUUCUGACCAAGCCUUUAGAGAGCAGAUGUCAUAAUGGCAAAGAGCUCAGGCUUUAGAGCUGGAUCAUCUGGGUUGAACCCCAACUCUGCCACUUCCUACCUAUGAAUUAUGGGCAAGUUACCCUCUAUGUGCCUCAGUUUCAUCAUCUGCAAAACAGAGAUUGGAGCCACGAUACCCACUUCUUAGGGCUGUUGUGAGUUAACAGGUGUAAAGCAAUUAGAACGGGGUCUGGCACAUAGAAGGUUCUCAAUAGACAUUAGCUACUCUAUUAGUCAGCUUGCGCUUAUAACAACAUACCAUAGACUGAGUGGCCUACACAACAGAAAUUUAUUUUCUCACAGUUCUGAAGGCUGAAACUGUGAAAUCAGGGCGCCAACAUAGUUAGGUUCUGGUGAGGGCUCUCUUCUUGGCUUGCAGAUGGCCACUUUCUUCCUGUGUCCUCUCAUGGCAGAGAGAUCUUUCUCUCUUCUUCUCAUAAAGUCACCAGCCCUAUAAGAUUAAGACUUCCUCUGCCCUAGGAUGACCUCAUUUAACCUUAAUUAAAUCCUAAAAGCCCUAUCUCCAAAUAUAGUCAUCCUGGGGGUUAGAUUUUAACAUAUGAAUUUUGGAAAGACACAAUUCAGUCCAUAACAGCUACUAUUUUUAAUUAGCUCAUAACUUAGAACUGUUGCAGAUGUCUUGUGAAUGUAGAAUCACGAAGUUACUCUGGGCAGUAUAGAAAUAUGUACUUAAAAAGGGAAUUGUGCGAAUAAAAGGGGGAUAGCUCAAGAUAGUUGUGUUUUAAUUAGAAGACAAUUCUCAUGUGUUUCCUUAGUCUAUCAAGCUACCAUCUUAGUCAGAGCCCUUAAAAAUGAUCUUGAGGCUUCUAUUUCUUCUUCUGCUCUUAGCUUACACUAACCUUGGUGAGUUGUUACCUUCCGAACGUAGUUUACUACCUUGCUUCUGAGGGCCAUUUUAGCUUCUUCAGAUAUAAUUUAGGCACUGAUGACUUGUUUUCUAACUGCAGAAGAUACACAUUAAGGUCUCAAAAACUCCACUGACUUUCCUUAGGAGGGUGGGAGUCCCAGAAUCUCAAGCACUCUUUUCUAAAAUUCUUCUCACAAAAUACUUCCUUAAUUUUCUCUUUCUGAGCCCUUUUAUAUCUUCAUUGUGAGUGACAGAUUUCAAGGAUUAUGCAACUGGUUCUUCUAUGUUUCUCUUUUUGGAAAUUCUGCAUAUGGUCUAGCACUUCCUUUGGAAUGCAGCAUCAAUUGUAUCUUGGUACAUCAGUCAAAACUUCCAAUUUAACAUCCUGUUACAUUUAGAAAUGCAUCCUUUGUAUCUCGUCAUGGUACACUGGAUACAGAACAUUUAUAACUCUCCAAGCCUCAAUGUUGAGCCAAUAGAGUCAUGGGUAGGUGAGGAAGGAAACUAACCUUUACUGAGUUUAAGUAAUUUGUUUAUUUCAUAUCACUAAAAAUGGCAGAGCCAAAAUUGCUCUCUAGGUCUGAUGUUCUAAAACCCAGGGUCAUUUGCUAUAUGACAAAGCACUCAUGCAAAACCUAUCCAUGGAAACACUUCCUUACACCCUUUCAUCUUUAAACUUUCUUGGUUGUAUUAGUCAGUCUCUUAAAAUAUGGUCAAAUAUUUUUGAGUUUUUGGUAAAUCUAAGAAAACAUAAAAAAUGAAGGCAUUCUCUUUGCUCCUGAUAUAGCCUCUUUUUUCUAACUCAUAAAUAAGGAAAGGGUAACCUCUACUUUUAUAGCCUUUGAGGGCUUUUUUUUUUUAAACUAUAAAAUUAGUGACUUUGGCAUUGCCCCAAGAGGAUGUGUUUAUUAACUUGGUUAUAAAUACUUGAACUCCACACUCUAAAUUUAAUUUGUCAGAUAAGAGAAUAUUAUGUUAACAUGCAUUUAUGAUUUAUUACUUCCCUAAUAUCAAUGUGAGUUUCAGAAACUAAAACAUGGCUUUUAUUUUCUAACUCCUAACAGGGAAGACAGAAAGAAGUUGGUCUUUCUGUUAAAAUUCCUUCAAGCCAGGUUUUAUCCAUACUUAGGCACACACCUAUGAAACUGGGAGCACUAAGGAAAAACAGAAACUUCUAAAAGAUCCUACAGAGGAAAAAAAUUAUUACCUCCUAAACCUGUCUCUACUAAAAAUACAAAAUUAGCAGGGCAUGGUGGCAUGUGCCUGUAAUCCCAGCUACUCAGGAGGCUGAGGAAGGAGAAUCACUUGAACCUGGGAGGCAGAGGUUGUGGUGAGCCAAGAUCAUGCCAUUACACACCAGCCUGGACAACCAGAGCGAAACUCCAUCUAAAAAAAAGAAAAAAAAAAAAAA
rnacentral:lncRNA from 1 species